CGUGAAGUCGGAAUUGCUAGUAAUCGCGGAUCAGCAUGCCGCGGUGAAUACGUUCCCGGGCCUUGUACACACCGCCCGUCACACCAUGAGAGCUGGGAACACCCGAAGCCCGUAGCCUAACCUGCAAAGGAGGGCGCGGUCGAAGGUGGGCUUAGUAAUUGGGGUGAAGUCGUAACAAGGUAAC
rnacentral:rRNA from 1 species